rnacentral:rRNA from 1 species
UGGGGAAUAUUGCACAAUGGGCGCAAGCCUGAUGCAGCCAUGCCGCGUGUAUGAAGAAGGCCUUCGGGUUGUAAAGUACUUUCAGCGGGGAGGAAGGCGAUAAGGUUAAUAACCUUGUCGAUUGACGUUACCCGCAGAAGAAGCACCGGCUAACUCCGUGCCAGCAGCCGCGGAAAUACGGAGGGUGCAAGGGUUAAUCGGAAUUACUGGGCGUAAAGCGCACGCAGGCGGUCUGUCAAGUCGGAUGUGAAAUCCCCGGGCUCAACCUGGGAACUGCAUUCGAAACUGGCAGGCUAGAGUCUUGUAGAGGGGGGUAGAAUUCCAGGUGUAGCGGUGAAAUGCGUAGAGAUCUGGAGGAAUACCGGUGGCGAAGGCGGCCCCCUGGACAAAGACUGACGCUCAGGUGCGAAAGCGUGGGGAGCAAACA